ACUCCUACGGGAGGCAGCAGUGGGGAAUAUUGGACAAUGGGGGAAACCCUGAUCCAGCAAUGCCGCGUGUGUGAAGAAGGCCUGCGGGUUGUAAAGCACUUUCGGCAGGAAAGAAAUCGUACGGGCUAAUACCCUGUGCGGAUGACGGUACCUGCAGAAUAAGCACCGGCUAACUCCGUGCCAGCAGCCGCGGUAAUA
rnacentral:rRNA from 1 species